CACAGCUCUCCCACGGCUUGCGGAGAGCUGCGUGAAGCCCAAAGCCUGCAGGCAGCUCUUCGCAAGCCGUGGGAGUGCUGCG